rnacentral:rRNA from 1 species
GACGUAGGAUGCAAGCGUUGUCCGGAUUUAUUGGGCGUAAAGAGUUCGUAGGCGGUCUGUUAAGUCUGGUGUUAAAGAUCAGGGCUCAACCCUGGGAGUGCAUUGGAUACUGGCAGACUGGAGUGCGGUAGAGGCGAGUGGAAUUCCCAGUGUAGCGGUGAAAUGCGUAGAUAUUGGGAAGAACACCAGUGGCGUAGGCGACUCGCUGGGCCGUAACUGACGCUGAGGAACGAAAGCCAGGGGAGCGAAUGGG